GUACUCCCUUUGGCAACAUACAUACUAAAAUCAGAAGAAUAUAGAGAAGAUUGGUCUCACCCUUGUGCAAAGAUAAUACAAAAAUUUGUGUAACAUUUCAUAUAUAC
rnacentral:snRNA from 1 species